UUCCGGUUGAUCCUGCCGGAGGUCACUGCUAUUGGGAUUCGGCUAAGCCAUGCAAGCGGAGGGCGCGGUCGAAAGAUCGUGGCCCCGCACACUGCUCAGUAACACGUAGUCAACCUACCCUUGGGACGGGGACAACCUCGGGAAACUGAGGCUAAUCCCCGAUAGGUGAGGGACGCUGGAAUGCCUCCUCGCCCAAAGCUCCGGCGCCCAAGGAUGGGACUGCGGUCUAUCAGGCUGUUGGUGGUGUAACGGACCACCAAACCUACGACGGGUACGGGCGAUGGGAGUCGGAGCCCGGAGAUGGGGACUGAGACAAGGCCCCAGGCCCUACGGGGCGCAGCACGCGCGAAAACUCCGCAAUGCGCGCAAGCGUGACGGGGGAGUCCCAAGUGCCGUUGGUCUUAUGAUCGACGGUUUUUAAGAAAAUAAAGAAGCUUCCAGAAUAUGGUGUGGGCAAGACUGGUGACAGCCGCCGUGCUAACCCCCAAACCAUAAUGGUGACUAUAAUUACUGAAACCAGAGCUCUCGUAUCUGGAUCAGCAAUGCCCUUGCGACAUAGGG
rnacentral:rRNA from 1 species